rnacentral:lncRNA from 1 species
AACUACAAGGAGUUGAAAUUUAAAGUCUUCUUGUCUUUGAAGAAUAUAACCAAGACUCCCAAUAAAAUCUAUAAAACCAUCGAAUUAGGCUCAAAUUCUCAAUUAAUGUAUUGCUUAGCUCUUUUCUAUUUUUGGUGUAAACAAAGAUAUAUUAACUAGGACAGAAGACAUCUUUAAUGUGCUAGAUUGUUUAUAGGCAGCAGUUUAGAUUAAGACUGUUUUAUUCUGUAAGUUGUACUCCCUCUGUCCCAAUUUAUGUGACUUACUUUCCUUUUUGGUCAGUCCCAAAAAGAAUGACACAUUUCUAUAUUAAGUAAUAAUUUAACUAUAAAAUGUUUAUUUUACCCUUAAUGAAAUGAUUUACAGCCACACAAAUUUCUAUCAUUCAUUUUGGACCACAAGUUUUAAAAGUCUUCCUUUCUUUCUUAAACUUCGUGCCGAGUCAAAGUACCUCACAUAAAUUGGGACGGAGGGAGUAAUACUUUUGAAGGGGAACUGCACAUUUUUUGUAGUGCACCUGUGUAUAUAUAGACUAAAGUUACCAGUUUCAAAAAAAAUAAAAAUCAA